ACUUGACAUUUAUCUUUCCUUGCGAACCAAGCGUAAACCGUCAUGCGGUUAUUUUAAACUCAUCACUGUUCUUUAUUUUAAACUUUUCGCUUUUUGUUGCAUCAUCAAAAAUGGCUAAAACCACAAUUCUUGCUAUUUUCAUGGUUGUUCUUGUUUUAGGGACGGUGAUGGAGUCACAAGGACAAGAAAUGUGUACUGAUUAUUCUAAAGGAUCAGUAGAUUGCCAAGCUAAACCAUGUAAUGAUCAGUGUGUAGCCAAGUAUAAUGGACAUGGCAGGUGCUUACACACAAUGUGCGUCUGCACUUAUAUUUGUAAAACUUAAUUUUUAUUUGUUACUAAUAAACUAUCAUCAAAUAUAUUUAAAUAAAAAUGUGUGAAAAAGAAUAUCGCAAUUUUCUUAGAACGUGAAUUCUGAUUUCAGCUAUUUGGACAUCAUAACAAAACAUGAAUCAUAAACAACUAGUAAGUAAUGGUAUGUUAGUGGCAAUGUCAUAUUUGAAACACAACAUGACGUAAAUUCGUUUUUCAGACUCUUUAAAUUAAAUUUUUUGCUGUUUAACCAGUUUGGAUCUAAGUCCCGAUAGUUAGCACGUUAGUCCGGUAACCGACGUCUAGCUACCUUAAAUAUUAGUCAAAAAAUAUUUCAAACCCGAAUCUAUUAAUGUGAUAAUCUAAUAUAGCCUUAAGUGCAUUCAUUCUGGAAUCGUCAGAAUCAACCGAUAGAUGCAUCAAAAAAGACAUGAAUUAUAAACCGCAAAUUUCAGCAUAUAUGCCAUAUAAGUCAGAUAUGUCGAUCAUAAUUAAAAAAAAUAACUUUUUCAAUAUUAUAGAUGAUGAAAAUGUAAAAGUAUAGUACAAAAUUCAUAAAAAUGUCUAAUACCAAUUAAUUUGUAUAAAAUAUCUAAUAUCAAUUAAAAAUAUCUUAUGCGUUAUUAAGUUAUUGGCUCAAUAGAGAGUGAUGCAGAUGUUGCUUCAAGAAACUUACGUAUGGCUUCAUAAUUAAGAGUGGUUUUAAGACAAAUAUAUUUGUUCAAAGUGCUGUGAUUGCUAUGUAUGCUAAAUGCAUAGACUUUAAAACUGCAAGUACUAUUUUACAAGAUAUGGAAGUUGAUGAUGUGGUUUCUUGGAAUUCGAUGGUUGUUGAGUUUGCUAGAGAUGUAAAGCAGUGUAGAUCAAACAACCUCGUUCUUGAACCAUCCUAGUUAAAUCAACAAUCUUUUUUUUUUUGUUAAAUUUUUUUUCCAACUUUUAUGUUAUAUCUGUGAAAUUUAGGAAUUUUAAUUUAAAAUCAGCUGUCAAAUGAAACUAAUAUCAUAACUGUUUGGUAUAAUCCAUGUUCUAAAACGCGUUCUCCGCGGCCGCGUACUCACCGGAAAAUCGUGAGUCGGCUGGUCACCGCCGCGAUUUGAUAUUAUUUGCUCAGUUAAUCGCCAAAACUUAUAAGUUCAUUGCUUUAUAGAUUUUAAACUUGACAUCACAUUCUAAGUCAUUGAUUUGUAUUAUUUAGACCAAAACUUACAAAAUUAAUAUGAAAAAGACUGAAAUCGCAAAAAAAAAAAAUAAUUAGAAAACAGCUGCAGAUUUCGCAGGAAGAAGGUGGAAGACGAGGGCAAUUUUGUCAAUUACCAUUUCAUUUAAUCUAAUUAUAAAAAUAUUGUCCAAAAUGUUCAAUGUUACAGUCGAACCCGUGUUGGGUAGGGUAAUUAAGCUCAACAAAGACCACUACACCAUGCUUCCAUGACGUGAUACUUAAAUUUAUUUAAUAUAUGAUCAUAUACUUAUUUAGAAACCCUAAAAUAACUCUCCGACUAAUCUUCGUAUAAUCUCCGAUUUAUUGAUUACGCGCUAACGUCUGGCGUAGUUUCGAACUGAGGGUAUAAUAUAUGUUAUUGGGUUGUAGAAUAUAAUAUUCUUAAUGGCAAUACUUGGAAUUUCUCUAGAAAAUAUAUUAUAUUUUGAAAAAUCGUGUGUUAGUGCCACGUCAGUAAGGGUAAGUUUUAUUAUUAUGACACCUUAUCUUGGUAAUAUGCUAGUAAGGUUGUGUAAUUAAAAUGACCCUCACAUAAUAGAUAGAAAGUUUUGAUUCAAAUUCUAACUUGGUUGUUGAAUAAAUUAGUUUUCAAAUUAGAUGCUUUUCAUUUUAAAUGGUGAAUGGCUAAUAUUAUCACAGUAACUGACAUAAGAAUAUGUGUAUAGAAGGCAAAAAAAAUAACAAUAAAGACAUUCUUUUUAGUCAAACUUCUAUUAAUUUCUAUAGUUUAACAAAUUGGUUAUUUCUAUCUAGAGCAUCCUAUUUAAACCGACAAUCUAAUCUUUUAUACCACUUCUAUUAAACUUGGAAAUUAGAAUUUAAAUUCAACUGAUAAUGAAUACAUAUUGACUUACCUUACUAUAAAAUCUAUCAGUUUUAAUUAAUUUCAAGAUAUUUUUCCUAUUUGUUUUUCAUGAUUUGUUUGUAUGAGUCAUCUUGUUUAUUAUAUGUUUACUCUCGAUUUCUUUCUAUGUUUUUCAAUUUGUGGUACUUUUGAAAAAUAUCUACAAAUCUAAUUUGUUAUAUAUAAGAUAUUCAUGGAUGCAAUACAACCUCAUCACUGUUCUUUAUUUUAAAGUUUUCGCUUUUUGUUGCAUCAUCAAAAAUGGCUAAAACCACAAUUCUUGCUAUUUUCAUGGUUGUUCUUGUUUUAGGGACGGUGAUGGAGUCACAAGGACAAGAAAUGUGUACUGAUUAUUCUAAAGGAUCAGUAGAUUGCCAAGCUAAACCAUGUAAUGAUCAGUGUGUAGCCAAGUAUAAUGGACAUGGCAGGUGCUUACACACAAUGUGCGUCUGCACUUAUAUUUGUAAAACUUAAUUUUUAUUUGUUACUAAUAAACUAUCAUCAAAUACGUUUAAAUAAGAAUGUGUGAAAAAGAAUA